GGGCUCUCUCAGCAGCACAUAUACUAAAAUUGGAAUGAUACAGAGAAGGUUAGCAUGGACCCUGCGUGGGCUGAAAUAAUCUUGGCCUACGUUAGAUUGUAUU
ensembl:snRNA Gm26373 predicted gene, 26373